rnacentral:rRNA from 1 species
GGCCUGUGAGGGUUGCUGGAGGUAUCAGAAGUGCGAAUGCUGACAUAAGUAACGAUAAAGCGGGUGAAAAGCCCGCUCGCCGGAAGACCAAGGGUUCCUGUCCAACGUUAAUCGGGGCAGGGUGAGUCGACCCCUAAGGCGAGGCCGAAAGGCGUAGUCGAUGGGAAACGGGUUAAUAUUCCCGUACUUGGUGUUACUGCGAAGGGGGGACGGAGAAGGCUAUGUUGGCCGGGCGACGGUUGUCCCGGUUUAAGCGUGUAGGUGUGUGUUCCAGGUAAAUCCGGUUCACUUUAACACUGAGGCGUGACGACGAGGCACUACGGUGCUGAAGCAACAAAUGCCCUGCUUCCAGGAAAAGCCUCUAAGCAUCAGGUAACAUCAAAUCGUACCCCAAACCGACACAGGUGGUCAGGUAGAGAAUACCAAGGCGCUUGAGAGAACUCGGGUGAAGGAACUAGGCAAAAUGGUGCCGUAACUUCGGGAGAAGGCACGCUGACACGUAGGUGAAGUGAUUUACUCAUGGAGCUGAAGUCAGUCGAAGAUACCAGCUGGCUGCAACUGUUUAUUAAAAACACAGCACUGUGCAAACACGAAAGUGGACGUAUACGGUGUGACGCCUGCCCGGUGCCGGAAGGUUAAUUGAUGGGGUCAGCGCAAGCGAAGCUCCUGAUCGAAGCCCCGGUAAACGGCGGCCGUAACUAUAACGGUCCUAAGGUAGCGAAAUUCCUUGUCGGGUAAGUUCCGACCUGCACGAAUGGCGUAAUGAUGGCCAGGCUGUCUCCACCCGAGACUCAGUGAAAUUGAACUCGCUGUGAAGAUGCAGUGUACCCGCGGCAAGACGGAAAGACCCCGUGAACCUUUACUAUAGCUUGACACUGAACAUUGAGCCUUGAUGUGUAGGAUAGGUGGGAGGCUUUGAAGUGUGGACGCCAGUCUGCAUGGAGCCGACCUUGAAAUACCACCCUUUAAUGUUUGAUGUUCUAACGUGGACCCGUUACCCGGGUUGCGGACAGUGUCUGGUGGGUAGUUUGACUGGGGCGGUCUCCUCCUAAAGAGUAACGGAGGAGCACGAAGGUUGGCUAAUCCUGGUCGGACAUCAGGAGGUUAGUGCAAUGGCAUAAGCCAGCUUGACUGCGAGCGUGACGGCGCGAGCAGGUGCGAAAGCAGGUCAUAGUGAUCCGGUGGUUCUGAAUGGAAGGGCCAUCGCUCAACGGAUAAAAGGUACUCCGGGGAUAACAGGCUGAUACCGCCCAAGAGUUCAUAUCGACGGCGGUGUUUGGCACCUCGAUGUCGGCUCAUCACAUCCUGGGGCUGAAGUAGGUCCCAAGGGUAUGGCUGUUCGCCAUUUAAAGUGGUACGCGAGCUGGGUUUAGAACGUCGUGAGACAGUUCGGUCCCUAUCUGCCGUGGGCGCUGGAGAACUGAGGGGGGCUGCUCCUAGUACGAGAGGACCGGAGUGGACGCAUCACUGGUGUUCGGGUUGUCAUGCCAAUGGCACUGCCCGGUAGCUAAAUGCGGAAGAGAUAAGUGCUGAAAGCAUCUAAGCACGAAACUUGCCCCGAG